rnacentral:rRNA from 1 species
ACCCCCCUAUGCUUUACGGUAAACCUUUGGAAAAUUUUGGAAAUUAUNUACCUCGCCUGAAAACUACAUGGGUAAGUCCAAAACUCAAAAGGUCUGGGGGCAAUUUAAACCAUCNUAGAGGAGCCUGUCCUAUAAUCGUUACCCCCCGUUAAACCUCACCUUCUUUAGCUAUUAUNCAGCCUGUAUACCGCNGUUGUCAGCUUACCCCCNNUAAAGGNUAUAUAAGUAAGCNAAAACUGGUUCUACCCAAAANGUCAGGUCGAGGUGCAGCUUACAAGAAGGGAAGAGAUGGGCUACAUUUUCUGUACNNAGAAAANCACGAAUAGUGCGCUGAAACAUGUACAUUGAAGGAGGAUUUAGUAGUAAGUAAAAAAUAGAGNUUUUNACUGAAAAAGNCCUUAANCNUGGNG